CUGUGACUCACACAGCCUACAUUUUUAAUUAUAUCUGACAGCACAGUGUGUUUACAUUAGACGUUUUUAUCCUUUUUAUCCCUGUUAAUUGAACUUUAAUCACACACUGGCGGCUUCUGCAGGCUCUGACUGGCAAUUAAUAGAGCAGAAGACAAGAAAUUCUAAAUCAAACAGACUGUGCAAUAAAUUAAGAUUAAACUUUAGUUCUCACUUUACAAGAAAUGUUUAGGGCAACUGUGUAGGUUACAGCCAGGGAAGAUGUGACUUGGGCUGCAUAAACAAAAUGAUUUAACUCCUUAAUGGCAGAUAAUUAAAACUAUAGAAUGCAGGGGCAUGAUCUGUGCACUUCAUUAAGCUAUUACGUUAUUUUGGUGUGUAUGGGGUCCCUUUAAGCCAAUAUGCUUUGCUUGGACAACUAUGGCAGUUUACAAUAGAGAUAAUGUAACCAGCACCAGUAACUUACUUACAACGUGUAAUAGGAUGGCUUGAAAGGUUGUUUGUUUUAAGAAGGUAAGUGUACAGGCACAGGGGUAAAAAAUCUUCAAUAAAGAUUCAACAUUUAAUUUAUUUUUUUAAUUUUUACAAAUGUGAAUUUACAAACAGCAUAUUUAGUUGUGUGUAAGGUAAGCACAUUUUUGGAUUUGUUGGUACACAGCAGAUAUAAAGUAGACUGCAGAAACAAAUCUGUUUUUAUCUCCAAACUUUAAGAUUCAGUUAAGAGUAUUUUUUGUCUGACUUGUUUCUUUUAAGGAAUUUUGGUACAUUUUGUUGUAUUUGAGGUUCUGAAAAUAAUAAAUGCAGUUGGGUGUCUAUUUACCACAAUAAAGUACUAUAAAGUACUGAUACAGGCCAUGUUUUAAAAUAACACCGAGAGAUAUGCUGACUGUUUUCUUUGCAGGGUUAACCUGCCUCUACUGUCAUACUGACAGCCACUAGCUGCUACCACAAAACAGUGGAGGAAAAUGACACUAUUUCAAACAGACUGUCUCAGAGAGACCAUUUGGCGCAGCGUAGCGUUUUUUCUAUGUGAAAAAAAUUGGAUUGUGAGAUCAUCUAGAUCAAUGAGGUGGAGCAUCUUUAACCCCUUAAGGACCACACUUCUGGUAUAAAAGGGAAUCAUGACAUGUCACACAUGUCGUGUGUCCUUAAGGGGUUACGGAGAUUGGAACUUCGAGGAAGAAAAGCCAAGUGAAAUAAAAAAUUUUUAUCCUCUCUGGGCCCCUGUCAUGUAUACAGUGCCUAGGGCACUAUAGUGUUAGGAACACAUAUUUGUUGGGAAUGCAUUACCAGAAUAUAUAGUGUUCCUUUAACUUGAUGUCUGCUCCUGAAGAGGACUUUGUGGAAGAAGAUGGUGGUGCACGCAAGGGACAGGUUAAGGCCACUAAAACUACCUUCCCCGGCACUCCUCGGCCACUGGAAUGUAAAUGCAGCCAUCACCGCCCCGGUCUUUGCAAAAUAUGUAAACACCCCAGAAGGUGACAGAGCCAUUUUAAAUAUAUGUAUUUCAGUGGGUCUACAGAUGCAAUGGUGAUGUCACUCCACUAACCUCAGACGCUGUUUUUUUUCUUUUACAUUUUCCUGUUUGUUUUUUUGCAUCAGGAAGUAUGGAAGAUCCUCUCGGCAGGAGGGGGUCCACAUCUUGGUGCCCAUUAUACCUAUGAAAAU
rnacentral:lncRNA from 1 species